rnacentral:rRNA from 1 species
UACAGAGGUCCCAAGCGUUGUUCGGAUUUGCUGGGCGUAAAGGGUGCGUAGGUGGCGGGGUAAGUCUGGUGUGAAAGCUCCGAGCUCAACUCGGAAAAGCAUUGGAAACUAUCCCGCUUGAGGGUCGGAGGGGAGACUGGAAUUCUCGGUGUAGCAGUGAAAUGCGUAGAUAUCGAGAGGAACACCAGUGGCGAAGGCGAGUCUCUGGACGACUCCUGACACUGAGGCACGAAAGCUAGGGGAGCAAACAGG